rnacentral:pre_miRNA from 1 species
AGUGAGAUAACUGGGUCAAAUGGUGUUCCAUUCCUAGUUUUUUGAGGAAUAUCCAUUCUGCUUUCCAGAGUGGUUGCACCAAUUUCCAGUCCCACCAACAAU